UGUGCAUUUUUUAAAGUUGCUAUUCACACUUCUUGUUUUUGACAGCGAGGCCGCGAAUUAGCCAUCAUCUCAGUCUCCAGUUAGCUUAGCCUGUUAGCUAGCUAGCUAGUCGUGUGAGUGAGAGAGAGAGGGAGAGAGAGACAGACGUUGCUAAAGUUCGGUGCUGUGCCUCAAGAUGCCCGCGAUGUUGGAAAAGGGUACGACGGAGAUUUCAGGGAAAAGAAGAGGCAGAAACUCGCUCAUGGCUAGAUCUGCCUGGCAGAUGUAGGGUAAGCAAGGGCGGAUAUUACAGCCAAGCACAGUAAUCUUCCUUCUGCUUUCGUCUGAGCUGGGUGAGCCCUCAAGUCUCGGCCAACCAAACACAGAGCCUGCCCAUAAAGUAAGAAGAAGUCACGUCAGGAUUAGGUUGGAUCACUGCUGUGAACAACUGAGAACUCCAGAUGAUGCGUAACAGCGAGCCGUUCAAGUGCCAAGGAUUUGCGUUACAGCUGGACACUGCUACUGGCCUUGCAAUCCACCCUGAUGAACUCCUUGCUGACAGAAUCAAGCAUGUUGCCAGUCAAGCCUCAGUCACCACCAAGAAGGAGACAUGGCUCACUACUAAGCCAGGCAAAUCGGCAACUGACCACCUCUGAACAUCAGUAUCACCUGGAAGGUAAUCUUAUUUCUCAGUGCAUGAUCCAACACUUUCCAAGAAAGGCUCUUCCUAUAAGACAGCUUGUGAUGAGGUGAACUGGUGAGUACAUUCCUUGCACAUGUCCUUACCAUAAAAUCAUUUUCCUGUUCUAUUCCACUAUGUUUUUCCUUUCAAUGCUAAUUGAUAAUGAUGCAGCUGUAAACUUCGUAGAUUUUAACACAGUCUAAUGUACAGCCUUGAAAACCGCAUUCCACAAGCUCUGGAUGGAAAACCAGUAAUCAUCAUCCAUUAAACCGUCCCAAUACACACUGACAACUGUGCUGUGCCCUCCUUAUCAAUGAAUCUCCUAAGUACCCUAUUGUUUUGGGAUUGCCAUAGCUGCAGACUCAUAAACCAAGAAUCUCCUGGCCAGAAUACAAAAUUAUAGCCUGGUAUCAGCAAUCUCCCCAGUGCCUGAAACCUGAUCAGGACACUAUGAAACUUUGGUAAUUCCACAUAGCCUGGUCAGCAAGUCCUCUGUGUUACAAGCAUUUGUCCAAAGUACCCAGGGAUUUGCCCAAAGUACCAGUGUUCCACUGUGUUUUUCCUUUCAGUGCUCAUUGAUAAUGAUGCAGCUAUAAACUUCAUAGAUCUUAACACUGUCUAACGUACAGCCCUUGUAAACUCCAGUCCACAUUCCACAAGCUCUGGAUGGAAAACUAGGUGUUAUCAUCUAUCAAACUGUCCCAAUACACACUGACAGCUGUGCUGUGCCCUCCUUAUCAAUGAAUCUCCUAAAUACCCCAUUGUUUUGGGAUUGCCAUAGCUGCAGACCCAUAAACCAAGAAUCUCCUGGCCAGAACACAAAAUUAUAGCCUGGUCUCUCCAAUCUCCCCAGUGCCUGAAACCUGAUCAGAUCAGGACACUAUGAAUCUUUGGUAAUUCCAUAUGGCCUGGUCAGCAAGUCCUCUUUGUUACAGGCAUUUGUCCAAAGUACCCAGAAUGCUACCCACUUCCAGUUCCUAAAUGCUUCUGGUCCCAUGUUGCCACUGAUGUUGUCACAGACAUGUCCUUUUCCCAGGACAUGACAUCCAUUUUAGUUGUUGUUGACAGUUUUUCAAAAUCCCUUAGACUUACAUCUGUCUCUGACACACAGCUUUUGAAACUGCUGAACUACUAUUUAAAUUAUGUAUUUUGGUAUCCCGAGGGUAUAGUAUCUGUGACAUCCCAUGAGACAAAUAUGCACAAAAGUUGGACGGUCAAGCCGCAACACAGCUCACACCCUGUCAAUGUGUGCUCAGCUAUCAACCUCCCCUAUUCCCCUGGAAUGCCAUGCCCAUCAAUGCACCUGCUGGACGAAUAGUUCAAGAAAAAUAAAGGCACAUGGCUGAAGGCCCCAGAUGCCUGUCCAUGAAAGAUCUCUGUCCAUUUGGAGGUGCACUUCUCUCUGCCUGUUGUGACAAGGACACACAACAUUACUACCAGUCUCGACAAAUUUACUGUGAACAUAGGAGACAAGGAAAUAGCUGAUAUAAAUGAGAACACAUAAAAAUUGCUGAUAUAAAUGAGAAAACAAGAAUACAUAAAAUGCAUUUGUUGUGAAUUCUAAAAGUGAAAUCUGUAACUUCUUAUGACAGUGUCACUGUUUGCAUGCACACUCCUGACAAUAUAUUUUUUUCUGACUCGGCUCCCUUUUUGCCACCCUUAUCCAGCUUAUUGCUUGCACUAAUGGAUGCAAAAAUACAUAUACAGCAUGUGGAAACAUAUGGACUGAUGUUUGGAACAUCGGUCACUGCACUAUGUGUUUAUGUUCAAAUUAAUAGUUGAGAAUAUUUACAGUACAUACAGUAAUACCAAUAAUGCACUAAUACAUUUGACAAGGACCCGUUGCAAUGAAAUAGUUGCCUAUUGAUGGCGAGACGUUAGCAAUAGCGUUGGUAUUCAAAGGAAUGUGACUAAGCUGUCACAGAAAUUAAUCAUGUAUUCUGCAAAUAAACCAUGUAGUUUCAGGAUGAAAAUAAAAUCGACCUUUUUCUCCUCAAACAAGGAGUGAAAGAAAACACAGGUGUCUUGCUGGUGUGUGUAACAGUGGCAGGUAUGGAGAAAAGAAGGAUGUCAUGCAGGGAGACAGACAAGUUCAUAAACACACACAGCUGCCACUUCCUGUGAUGCUAAAGUCUGACACUGAUGUAGUCUGGCUGCCACCAGAGCCAGCUGUCACGUCUCACACUCCACACUCACUUUCACACUGUCUCACACAGAGAGAGAGAGAGAGAGAGAGAGAGAGAGAGAGAUACAGAGAUACAGAUAGACAUAGGAUUUGUGUCACUUCAACCUGGUAAUGUGAACAUAGCUUAAUUUAGCCAUUAAUGAAUUAACAAACAGUUUACUGAAAAAAUUCCUAUGCAAGUUGGGACACUAACCUAAUUCACUGUGUAAUGAAUCUUUUUGUGUUUGUUUCUAAAUUACCUUGGAACAACUUUGUUUAGUGAAGAUAAAAAGCUCCACAGAGCCUAGAUGAGGAAUUUCUUCAUUUGUCACCUGGAAAACUGUGUUCUCAGGCUAAGAAUGUUUAUCUUUUGCCCUAGUCCAAUCUGCUAGUCGGCACAUUGU